rnacentral:rRNA from 1 species
UACGGGAGGCAGCAGUCGGGAAUAUUGCGCAAUGGAGGAAACUCUGACGCAGUGACGCCGCGUAUAGGAAGAAGGUUUUCGGAUUGUAAACUAUUGUCGUUAGGGAAGAAAAAGGACAGUACCUAAGGAGGAAGCACCGGCUAACUAUGUGCCAGCAGCCGCGGUAAU